CGAAGCUCAUUAGGCCUUGAGACCCAAUACUAACUCAAGGUCUAAAACGAAUUUAUUCAUUUGAAUAAUCAAUCCUAGUUAUAAAUAGUUAAACUAUUUAAUUGUCUUUAUUAAUCUUCAAUCUUAUCUUACAUGGUGUACGAUCCAUUAGGUUCUAGUUAUCGGGACAAUGGGCAAUUAGAACUCUUACUAAUCAAUUGUGAAUUGAAACUAUCUUUCAAUUAUCCCUUUUAUGAAGAUUAGUGAUUGUAAACUUUCAAGGCUUUCCCAAGCUAUGAGUGACACCUAGUAAUAUGUCAUGACUACCCAAGCUAAGUUGAAGACAUAGAGAACCUAUAUCUAUAUUAAUACUCUUGAUC
rnacentral:lncRNA from 1 species